rnacentral:misc_RNA from 1 species
UCCCGGUUACCCGGGCAGUUCCGGAAGAGUGCCCAACUCAAUGCUGGCAACAUCCGGUGAGGGUUGUGCUCGUUGCGGGACUUAACCCAACAUUUCACAACACGAGCUGACGACAGCCAUGCACCACCUGUGUAGGGCCCCGAAGGACACCGUAUCUCUACGGCUUUUCCCUACAUGUCAAGCCCAGGUAAGGUUCUUCGCGUUGCCUCGAAUUAAGCAACAUGCUCCGCCGCUUGUGCGGGCCCCCGUCAAUUCUUUUGAGUUUUAGCCUUGCGGCCGUACUCCCCAGGCGGAACACUUAACGCGUUGGCUGCGGCACAGGAGGAUUCGACUCCCCCCACACCUAGUGUUCAUCGUUUACGGCUAGGACUAC